ensembl:lncRNA
GUGUCUGUGUGUUAAGAGGCAAAGUCAUGUCUACUAUCUGUCUUGCUGGUUUCCAGCCUUAUUUUUUAUAAUAUCCCCCAUGGCUUGAGGAAAGCUGAGUGAUCCUUUAUUCCUUGAAGCUAAGAGGGGCCAAACUGACUCAGAAAGACAUUUCAAAAUGAGUCUCCCUCAAUCAGCUGUCUGUUGUUUCACAUCAAAGGGGGAAUUACCCGGUUUCACACUGAAGUUAGUACCUCAGAAAAUGAAUUACCAGCCCCAGUGCUUUCUUUCUAAUGGGAUCUGGCAGGCUUCCUUUCCUGUGAGACGUUCUGGGCAAUACAGAGUGUGAACCUGAGCCAAGGACAGGAAGGACAGGGACAAUAUGGAUCCUCUGAAAUUACGCUUGAUGUGUGCGUGAGCAGCCUUCCAAGAAUCAUUGUCAAACAUCCCACAUCCCCACAUCUGGAUUAGGAGAGCUAAUCCAGAAGACCACAGCUGAGUCGCUGUGCAAAGCUGCCUCCCAGCAUUAUUGCCCAUGUCUGCUUUAUAACCGGAAGGUGUCUUGUCUGUUCACCUUUAACCUGGAGGCCCAGACAUUCCUCUCUUUCACUGCCCAGUGACCUCUCCUGCCUCUCCUCUCGUGACUGUGAAUUCUUUGUCCCUGUAACCUGGCUGCCGCAUAUGAGUCUGACCGAAGAUGGAGAGGAGCCCUAGGCUAGAGCAGCAGGUCUGUUUCCAGGACCACAUGCCUCCAGGCCUAGCUGGUAGUCUAGGGGUUGCUGUUUACUGAAGAUGAGAGCAAGGCUUGGACAUAUGGCCUGGAGUGUCUGAACUCCUUUAUGAGAGGUCCCAUUAAAGUGUGGAAUAGAGU